UACGGAAGGCAGCAGUGGGGAAUAUUGCACAAUGGGCGCAAGCCUGAUGCAGCCAUGCCGCGUGUAUGAAGAGGGCCUUCGGGUUGUAAAGUACUUUCAGUCGUGAGGAAGGUGUUAAGGUUAAUAACCUUAGCAAUUGACGUUAGCGACAGAAGAAGCACCGGCUAACUCCGUGCCAGCAGCCGCGGUAAUACGGAGGGUGCGAGCGUUAAUCGGAAUUACUGGGCGUAAAGGGCACGCAGGCGGUUAAUUAAGUUGGAUGUGAAAUCCCCGGGCUUAACCUGGGAAUGGCAUUCAAGACUGGUUAGCUAGAGUCUUGUAGAGGGGGUAGAAUUCCAUGUGUAGCGGUGAAAUGCGUAGAGAUGUGGAGGAAUACCGGUGGCGAAGGCGGCCCCUGGACAAAGACUGACGCUCAUGUGCGAAAGCGUGGGGAGCAAACAGGGAUUAGAUACC
rnacentral:rRNA from 1 species